CGACUCUCGGCAACGGAUAUCUCGGCUCAUGCAUCGAUGAAGAACGUAGCAAAAUGCGAUACUUGGUGUGAAUUGCAGAAUCCCGUGAACCAUCGAGUUUUUGAACGCAAGUUGCGCCCGAAGCCAUCCGGUUGAGGGCACGUCUGCCUGGGCGUCACG
rnacentral:rRNA from 1 species